AAGACUAUACUUUCAAGGAUGUUUUCUAUAGUUUCUGACUAGAGAAGUUUCUCUGAUCGUGUAGAGCACCCGAAGCCACGAGGCGGAGCCAGAGCGUUCUCUCCUGAGCCUGAAGCCGGCUCUAGGUGUCGCUUCUUGUGGCUGCCUUUGACCAUUGAUGAUCCUACAUGUGUGUGUGUGUGUGUGUGUGUGUGUGUGUGUGUGUGUGUGUGU